UACGAAGGGGGCGAGCGUUGUUCGGAUUUACUGGGCGUAAAGGGCGCGCAGGCGGCUAUCCAAGUCAGGCGUGAAAGCCCCGGGCUUAACCUGGGAGGUGCGUCUGGGACUGGGUGGCUAGAGUUCGGGAGAGGAGAGUGGAAUUCCCAGUGUAGAGGUGAAAUUCGUAGAUAUUGGGAAGAGCACCGGUGGCGAAGGCGGUUCUCUGGGCCUUACCUGACGCUGAGGAGCGAAAGCAUGGGGAGCAAACAGG
rnacentral:rRNA from 1 species